CUUUGGGAUAACCCUCGGAAACGGGGGCUAAUACCGGAUAGGACUCCUGCCUGCAUGGGUGGGGGUGGAAAGUUUUUCGGCUAGGGGUGGGCUCGCGGCCUAUCAGCUUGUUGGUGGGGUGAUGGCCUACCAAGGCGACGACGGGUAGCCGGCCUGAGAGGGCGACCGGCCACACUGGGACUGAGACACGGCCCAGACUCCUACGGGAGGCAGCAGUGGGGAAUAUUGCACAAUGGGCGGAAGCCUGAUGCAGCGACGCCGCGUGAGGGAUGACGGCCUUCGGGUUGUAAACCUCUUUCAGCAGGGACGAAGCGUAAGUGACGGUACCUGCAGAAGAAGCGCCGGCCAACUACGUGCCAGCAGCCGCGGUAAGACGUAGGGCGCGAGCGUUGUCCGGAUUUAUUGGGCGUAAAGAGCUCGUAGGCGGCUUGUUGCGUCGACCGUGAAAACCCGGGGCUCAACCUCGGGCUUGCGGUCGAUACGGGCGGGCUAGAGUUCGGUAGGGGAGACUGGAAUUCCUGGUGUAGCGGUGAAAUGCGCAGAUAUCAGGAGGAGCACCGGUGGCGAAGGCGGGUCUCUGGGCCGAUACUGACGCUGAGGAGCGAAAGCGUGGGGAGCGAACAGGAUUAGAUACCCUGGUAGUCCACGCUGUAAACGUUGGGCGC
rnacentral:rRNA from 1 species